UUAUUGGAAAUAUGAUAUUGUUAUUCUCAUUUAAUCUUAUGUCAUGGUUAUCAAUGCUAGCAUGAUUUUGUUACAUUGAUAUGCUUGCACCAAGUAUUGCCUUGCCUCACAUGUUAUAACUUUUCACUUGAGAAGCUUGGUGUUAUUUGUUGGUUAAUGUAUUUGUAUGUUGCAUGCUCAUUGAUGCGUCCAUGUUAAUAAUGCUCAUAAUGUUAAUGAUGAUGGAGAGGAUAAUAAUGUGACUCAAUAAUAAUAAACCUCCUAAGCUAUCCAUGGGAACGAGUCAUAGUGCCACCAAACCGAGCUUAUUCAGUGCAUCCACAUUUGCCUUUAUGGAAAGGUCCUAAUUUUGUCUAUUGUCAUGCCUCACACGGGUGCAUCCCACUGGCGAUGGUUAUGUGCUCACACUACCCUUUCCUGGAAGGCAGAAAUAACCUUGUGUGCCCAUGUUGGUAUUGAGGUCAUAUCCCUGUUUGGGAACGUUUUGUUUUGCCACCACAAUGGGCGGUGGAUGUCUAGAGUGGCAUCGGGACCAACCACGACUUAGCCCAAAGGGGAGUUUGUUGGAGUGGCCGGGAUAGUGUCAUACAAUAGAUCAGGUUUGUUGGAAUGCCGUUGGUCCACUCGAAUGGGAGCACGAGGCCUUGGAUUCCCUAGUGUGGUUAUAGUGUACUAACCUCUGCAGAGUGUAUUACCCAUAGUCGCGUCCUCGUACAUGGAUAAAGUUCCUACUAGGUCACACUAUUAGGUUUUUGUCGACAUGGAGGAUAAAUCUGAUAUAAUUAAUUUGAUAAGUAAUUUGCUAUAAGUAAAUGAUGACUUGGACUAUGAGAUAGUCGCAAGAGGUCACAGAGUUGUUUCGGACAAAGAUCACGCGAUGAAAUCUUGAUGAUUCAUGAGUUGGACUUGACUAGCAGUGGCAGUAAAGGUGAUGGAUGAACCGUAUGUUAUUCUUAUUCUUCACGGAAGGUAAAUGGUAGUUUACUUUUCAGUAUAGUUUCAUUCACUUCUCCAUGUCUUGUAGAUACAAUUAUUCAAUGCCAUGCUAUUAGUGAAAUGCCAUGAUAUGCCCUGUUAUGAUAUGCUAUGCUAUGCCUUGUUAUGACAUUCCCAUGUUACAAUAUGUUAUCAUAUGUCAAUGCUUACUUUGACUCAUGUGAAUACCAUAUCAUACUUAGCUAUUAUUAUGAGUUAUGUUCAUAUGUGCGCAUGGGACUUGCUUUGUCCUUUGUUUGUUUGGAUACUAUGUAUUUGGUUGUCUUGCAAGUACAUUUAAAGUAUCCACCUCGCCUUUCACAUGGUCAGUGUGCACAACAAAAUUUGUUAAGCUAGCCCCAAUCUUGCUAGUCCUAUGAGUUUUGGAGCCCAUCCAGAGUCGACUUGCCAUCAAAUCCAAACUUUUGCCACCAUUUAGAUAAUUGUAGAGGUGUGCCACUCAUUGUAUUCAUGACAAUGUAAUGCUCUAUGCCAUGUAAAUAAUAAAUAUUUUGUGCUUGAGUUGUUGUAUCAUGUACCUAUCGUGCUUCAGGUGUUAUCCUAGGUUGACGUACUUCAUACGGAUCAGGCUGCCACAACAUGUGAGGGAAGUAUUUCCACUACAAAAAAAUAUGCUCAUACAUGACGUUUUCUAAGACGUCGUUGAUGAAUUCGUCAUAAAUCUAUGACGAUUUAAUCCGAGAUUGUCGUAAACCGUUUGAGGGAUCAAAUCUACAUAUAAAUUACGACGAUGUGAGUCAAAAAUGUUGUAACCGCAUAAGAUGAGAUCGUCAUAACUUUUACGACGAUUAUCAAAAUGUCGUAACAUGUAUUAACUAUGUUCACAUGUCCCUCGUCGGUCCAUUUUAUCCCACCUCAUCCAUGUAUUGAACUGUUUUAUAUCAUUUUUCUAUUGGACUAUUUUUUCCAUCUUACUUUUAUAUUGGACUGGUAUUUUAUCCUUCAUGCUUGUUAAUGGGCUAGUUUGUGGUUUGUCAAAAAGGCCCAUAUUUUAAGAUUGUAAUAUUAUGCAUAAAAGCUAUCUAAAAAAUAACUAUCAAAACUUCCCUCCAAUAUAGUGACCACAUUCAUGGCACGGGCUUGUAAUUUUUUUCUUC
rnacentral:lncRNA from 1 species